rfam:Schistosoma curassoni strain Dakar, Senegal genome assembly, scaffold: SCTD_contig0003898
GCACUGCUAAGGAGUCCAAUACUAAGACGAAACGGCCGUCCAGUGC